rnacentral:rRNA from 1 species
AUUGAACGCUAGCGGGAUGCCUUACACAUGCAACUCGAACGGAGUGGCGAACGGGUGAUUAAUGUAUCGGAACGUGCCCAUUAGCGGGGGAUCACUACGCGAAAGCGUAGCUAAUACCACAUACUAUUGACGCGGCCGCUGUCGGAUUAGCUAGUUGGUGGGGUAACGGCUAACCAAGGCGACGAUCCGUAGCUGGUUUGAGAGGACGACCAGCCACACUGGGACUGAGACACGGCCCAGAUUCCUACGGGAGGCAGCAGUGGGGAAGUUUGGCCAAUGGAGGAAACCCUGAUCCAGCCAUCCCGCGUGUGCGAUGAAGGCCUUCGGGUUGUAAAGCACUUUUGGCAGGAAAGCGGUACCUGCAGAAUAAGCAACGGCUAACUACGUGCCAGCCGCCGCGGUAAUUC